CAGAGUUGCAAGACUCCCUACAACCAGUCGCUGAAUCUUACCUCUACCGUUGCCUCGGCGCUGGCGUCCGGAGGCCCAGCGCCCCCCCCUCGGGCCCCCUCGCGGAGGCUGCCCGCCGGAGUGCCUAACCAAACUCUUGAUAUUUAGUGGCCUCUCUGAGUAUCUUUAUGAAUAAGUCA
rnacentral:misc_RNA from 1 species